AACGAACGCUGGCGGCAUGCCUAACACAUGCAAGUCGAACGAGACCUUCGGGUCUAGUGGCGCACGGGUGCGUAACGCGUGGGAACCUGCCCUUAGGUUCGGAAUAACUCCCCGAAAGGGGUGCUAAUACCGGAUGAUGUCUUCGGACCAAAGAUUUAUCGCCUUUGGAUGGGCCCGCGUUGGAUUAGGUAGUUGGUAGGGUAAAAGCCUACCAAGGCGACGAUCCAUAGCUGGUCUGAGAGGAUGAUCAGCCACACUGGGACUGAGACACGGCCCAGACUCCUACGGGAGGCAGCAGUGGGGAAUAUUGGACAAUGGGCGAAAGCCUGAUCCAGCAAUGCCGCGUGAGUGAUGAAGGCCUUAGGGUUGUAAAGCUCUUUUACCCGGGAUGAUAAUGACAGUACCGGGAGAAUAAGCCCCGGCUAACUCCGUG
rnacentral:rRNA from 1 species